AUUGAACGCUGGCGGAAUGCUUUACACAUGCAAGUCGAGCGGCAGCGCGGGGGCAACCCUGGCGGCGAGCGGCGAACGGGUGAGUAAUGCAUCGGAACGUGCCAUUGAGUGGGGGAUAACGUAGCGAAAGUUGCGCUAAUACCGCAUAUUCUGUGAGCAGGAAAGCAGGGGACCGCAAGGCCUUGCGCUCUUUGAGCGGCCGAUGUCAGAUUAGCUAGUUGGUGAGGUAACGGCUUACCAAGGCGACGAUCUGUAGCGGGUCUGAGAGGAUGAUCCGCCACACUGGAACUGAGACACGGUCCAGACUCCUACGGGAGGCAGCAGUGGGGAAUUUGGACAAUGGGCGCGAAGCCUGAUCCAGCCAUGCCGCGUGAGUGAAGAAGGCCUC
rnacentral:rRNA from 1 species